rnacentral:rRNA from 1 species
AGCGAACGCUAGCGGCGGGCCUAACACAUGCAAGUCGAGCGCAUACCUUCGGGUAUGAGCGGCGGACGGGUGAGUAACGCGUAGGUCAUCUACCCUUUGGUGGGGGAUAACCCAGGGAAACUUGGGCUAAUACCGCACGAGGUCCACGGAUCAAAGCCUUCGGGCGCCAGAGGAUGAGCCUGCGUCGCAUUACCUAGUUGGCGGGGUAACGGCCCACCAAGGGGACGAUGCGUAGCUGGUCUGAGAGGAUGAUCAGCCACACUGGGACUGAGACACGGCCCAGACUCCUACGGGAGGCAGCAGUGGGGAAUAUUGCGCAAUGGGGGAAACCCUGACGCAGCCACGCCGCGUGGGUGAUGAAGGCCUCGGGUUGUAAAGCCCUGUCGGGAGGGACGAAUUCUUGACGGUACCUCCAAAGAAAGCACCGGCUAACUCCGUGCCAGCAGCCGCGGUAAU